ensembl:lncRNA schwannomin-interacting protein 1-like
UGACGCCAGUCAGGGGACACUUAUUUUGAAGGCAGCAACAGGAAGUGGCAAAGGAAACUUUCUGCGCCUCAAAUUCCUGAAGUUUGAGUCUAUUGUUCGUGUCGGGAAGCAGUGAGUGGAUCUCUGGACUCAUUCUGGACGGAAACAACACCGUGCAAGUAACGGGCCACACGGACAUGAAAAAGCUGUGAACCGCCCGUGUGAGAGUGUUGCCCACAUUUUUAAGUUUGGGAGAAGUCGGGAAAACGAGUGCUGAUGGCGAAAGAAGGAGGGAGAUAGUUUGGAGGAGCCGAGGAAGGAGCCGAGGAAGGAGCCGAGGAAGGAGUCGAGGAGGCGCUGGGCUAUGUGGCACAGCUCCCAGAGCUCUGCUAGCGGGAGAACGGGUCGCUUCCCUCGCGCUGGUGGGACCUCGGGCUGUUUGCUGGGAAACAACAUUUGCGCCAGUUUUGCGGGCUCCGUUUGAAAAGUCGCUCCAGCUGAAGUCGCUGCGUUUUGCAGCGUGGUCAAAUUUCCUGGUUCCACCCCAACAGCAGCCAGAGGUACGAGAGGCCUGAUUCAAGCUGAAAUGUAACAAAAUAACUAGGGACAUCUAGUUCACCAACAUGUUAUGUUCUUUCUGAUCCAACUUUCCAUACUUUAAUAUGACAGCGCGAGCUCUGGGCAGAACUUAACCCUUGCCUCCACCUCCACAGAGAUGGAGAGAGAGAAGGAGAGACAGCGGCAGCAGUGGGAGGAGAAGGAGAGCAACGAGGCGGAGGAGGACAGGAAGAGGGCCGGUGAUGCUGACGAUGAGGAGGAGGAGGAGGAGGAGGAGGACCUGGAGAACGCGGUGCUGGUCUGGCAGGAAGACUACGGCAAGGACAACCUGGGCCUUCCCAUCAUGCACUGGGAGGCGCUGAGCCUGCACAUCGCUGAGCUGGAGAAGCAGGAGGAGGAAAAGAAGGCGAAGAGCGGAGCGUCUCUGGAGCGAGGCAGCUGGACAGAGCAAAGGAGGAGAGCAGAGAGUUGGGACGACGGAGACGACAACUGCAGCAAUCACAUGAUAGCACUCAGUUCCCGUUUACAGACACAGAUGAACCUUCAGCUCUGUUUCAUCAACAACAGUGAAAGUGAGGACGAUGAGAAGGAAGGAGACGUUCUUGUGAAGGACAGCUCUGGCACCUGGUCAAAGAGAGCGUCCGUUCAGGCUCAUAAAACUCCUCCGCCUGCUGCCAAGCCGGAGAAACCCAAGUCUGGAGGCUUGAGGAACACGCUGAGGAACCUACGAGACAGACUGAGAGCAGACCACAAAUCACCGGCUAAAGCUUGUAGUGAUCGUCUCGUCGAGAGGAGACAUUUGGAGCGAAGUGAUUUAAAUAACUUCACUAUCAAAGAAUUGAAUGCUCUUUGUUCGUCUCUCAGCCAGACUAUACAAGACCUUAGUUCAGAGCUAGUGGGUCGUCUUCAGGUCCGGGAUCAGCUGAGGACAAAACAGGACGCCCUGCUGCUGGAGGUUCAGGACCUGACAUCGGUGUGAACCUGCCAGAGACUCUCGGCUGUUUAGAAAGAUUUGUGUCAGACAGAACCAGUACAGAGCCACUUGUCUGAGGUGUGGUGUAAACGGUACAGUCAACUACACACAUUGGCAUUGGAAUGGACUUUGUGACUAAGGAGCCGUACUGGUUUGUGUUGGCCGACAGACUAAGUAAUGUAACACUGUGGUUGACUGUAGAUAUUUUAGUCAGUUUGUUGUCUGGGAUGAUCCGUUUACAAUACAUAAAGUAAAAAGGGCUUAUUAAUACACAUAAAUGCACUAUAUCAUAAAUUAGUCUUUGUCCCUUAAACAUUAACUCACUAUAACAGAGCUAGAAAUAAACUUCCGUUCCAAUCCUGCA